CAUUAUACAGCGAAACUGCGAAUGGCUCAUUAAAUCAGUUAUCGUUUAUUUGAUAGUACCUUACUACUUGGAUAACCGUGGUAAUUCUAGAGCUAAUACAUGCUAAAAACCCCGACUCACGAAGGGGUGUAUUUAUUAGAUUAAAAACCAAUGCCCUUCGGGGCUCUUUGGUGAUUCAUAAUAACUUUUCGAAUCGCAUGGCCUUGCGCCGGCGAUGGUUCAUUCAAAUUUCUGCCCUAUCAACUUUCGAUGGCAGGGUCUUGGCCUGCCAUGGUUACAACGGGUAACGGAGGGUUAGGGCUCGACCCCGGAGAAGGAGCCUGAGAAACGGCUACUACAUCCAAGGAAGGCAGCAGGCGCGCAAAUUACCCAAUCCCGAUUCGGGGAGGUAGUGACAAUAAAUACUGAUACAGGGCUCUUUUGGGUCUUGUAAUUGGAAUGAGUACAAUUUAAAUCCCUUAACGAGGAACAAUUGGAGGGCAAGUCUGGUGCCAGCAGCCGCGGUAAUUCCAGCUCCAAUAGCGUAUAUUAAAGUUGUUGCAGUUAAAAAGCUCGUAGUUGAACCUUGGGCCUGGCUGGCCGGUCCGCCUCACCGCGUGCACUGGUUCGGCCGGGCCUUUCCCUCUGGGGAACCUCAUGGUCUUCACUGAUCGUGAUGGGGAACCAGGACUUUUACUGUGAAAAAAUUAGAGUGUUCAAAGCAGGCCUAUGCUCGAAUACAUUAGCAUGGAAUAAUAAAAUAGGACGUGUGGUUCUAUUUUGUUGGUUUCUAGGACCGCCGUAAUGAUUAAUAGGGACAGUCGGGGGCAUCAGUAUUCAAUUGUCAGAGGUGAAAUUCUUGGAUUUAUUGAAGACUAACUACUGCGAAAGCAUUUGCCAAGGAUGUUUUCAUUAAUCAGGAACGAAAGUUAGGGGAUCGAAGACGAUCAGAUACCGUCGUAGUCUUAACCAUAAACUAUGCCGACUAGGGAUCGGACGGUGUUACUUAUUGACCCGUUCGGCACCUUACGAGAAAUCAAAG
rnacentral:rRNA from 1 species